rnacentral:ncRNA from 1 species
AUAAACUGGGGUGUGCAGAGGGGGAACCCCUCGCAGUAUUAAGGGGAGGCUCAGACGUGUAGCGUCGUCGAAGGGGGU